AACAUCGCAAUAAAUCAGAAAAUUACCGACAUUUUUUUUUUAAAGAACGCCGCAAAAGGCUAUUAUUUUUAAUAAAAGAAGACAAAAUCCCGCUCACUCCCAAAAAUUAUUUUUUGGUUACCCACUCGUUAAUCAAAUCCCCCAAAUUGUUUCUUUUUCCCCAAAUAAAAGAGAAGAGGGGGAGGGUGAAGAAGAAGAGAGUGAAGAUGAAGGGACUAAAAAGGUCAAAGGUAGUAGAAGAAAGAGCCAGUGGCACCUAGUAGUGAUAGGCCUACAAGGGAAAGGAAAAUCGUAGAAAGGGAAAGUGGCAAAGCUUAAAGGUAUGUGGGUGGUGUCCAAAAAGAACUAUACUGGGAGACGAAAAAAUCACGGAUCUUAACGACUGGCUUUUGCACACCCAUAAGCCUUUCAAUGCUUUAUCAACCGAAGAU